GUGGCCGUUGCUGAGUGGUCAAAGGCAACAGGUUGUGAUUCUGUCGGGUGAAAGCCCUUCGCGAGUUCGAAUCUCGUCGGUCACCC
rnacentral:tRNA from 1 species